rnacentral:rRNA from 1 species
UACGGAAGGCAGCAGUGGGGAAUAUUGCACAAUGGGCGCAAGCCUGAUGCAGCCAUGCCGCGUGUAUGAAGAAGGCCUUCGGGUUGUAAAGUACUUUCAGCGGGGAGGAAGGCGGUGAAGUUAAUAGCUUCACCGAUUGACGUUACCCGCAGAAGAAGCACCGGCUAACUCCGUGCCAGCAGCCGCGGUAAUACGGAGGGUGCAAGCGUUAAUCGGAAUUACUGGGCGUAAAGCGCACGCAGGCGGUCUGUCAAGUCGGAUGUGAAAUCCCCGGGCUUAACCUGGGAACUGCAUUCGAAACUGGCAGGCUAGAGUCUUGUAGAGGGGGUAGAAUUCCAGGUGUAGCGGUGAAAUGCGUAGAGAUCUGGAGGAAUACCGGUGGCGAAGGCGGCCCCUGGGACAAAGCUGACGCUCAGGGUGCGAAAGCGUGGGGAGCAAACGAGGGAUUAGGAUA